GACGAACGCUGGCGGCGUGCUUAACACAUGCAAGUCGAACGGAAAGGCCCUGCUUUUGUGGGGUGCUCGAGUGGCGAACGGGUGAGUAACACGUGAGUAACCUGCCCUUGACUUUGGGAUAACUUCAGGAAACUGGGGCUAAUACCGGAUAGGAGCUCCUGCUGCAUGGUGGGGGUUGGAAAGUUUCGGCGGUUGGGGAUGGACUCGCGGCUUAUCAGCUUGUUGGUGGGGUAGUGGCUUACCAAGGCUUUGACGGGUAGCCGGCCUGAGAGGGUGACCGGCCACAUUGGGACUGAGAUACGGCCCAGACUCCUACGGGAGGCAGCAGUGGGGAAUAUUGCACAAUGGGCGGAAGCCUGAUGCAGCAACGCCGCGUGCGGGAGGACGGCCUUCGGGUGGUAAACAGCUUUCGCCUGUGACGAAGCGUGAGUGACGGUAAUGGGGAAAGAAGCACCGGCUAACUACGU
rnacentral:rRNA from 1 species